UAAAGUGACAUGUGAUUAAUUAGCCUAUAGUGUGUGUGAUGGUGAACAGACUGAACUUUGAUUUCAGCAGCUGAUCUUCAGUCAGUGUCUCUGUCCACAGGAGAGACUCUCAGCCCUGCAGAGGACACAGAGACAUUGAGGAACCAG